rnacentral:misc_RNA from 1 species
AAUAACAAUAACAAUAAAUCGAACCACGUCUGCCCGAAGGGGGGCGAUUGGCUCAAGCCAUUUGCGGGCGUGGCACCUGGAGCGCGGCCUCGAUGCGGCGGGCCAGGAUCGCCCGUUCCUCGCCCGCAGCCGCGAGCUCCGCGGCCUUGCCGCGCAGCUCCCGCCACGCGACCGCCGCCUCCUCCUCGUCCUCCACCACCGCGGCGCCCGGACCGGGCGCGCGAGGAUUCCCCACCCGAACCGCCGGAGUCAUCGCGGCCCUACCGUCGCAGCGGAUGGUGACGUGUGGCAGAGGCGAAGAGAGCAGGCGGCGGCGGCGCCCAUGGCCGGGCCGGUGAGGCGGUGACGGCUGCGUCCGUCGAAACCGAAGCUCGCCCAACG